AGAUCAAGCUGGUGGUCUUCCUGCCUGCCCUGUGUCGUAAAAUGGUGUCCCUUACUGCAUUAUCAAAGGGAAGGCAAGACUGGGUUGUCUAGUCCACAGGAAGACCUGCACCACUGUCGCCUUCACAUGGUUUAACUCAGAAGACAAAGGAGUUUUGGCUAAGCUGGUGGAAGCUAUCAGGACCAAUUACAACAACAGAUAUGAUGAGCUCUCCCAUCAGUGGGGAGGCAAUGUCCUGGGUCCCAAGUCUGUGGCUCGCAUUGCCAAACUCAAAAGGGCAAAAGCUAAAAAAAUUGCCACUAAACUG
rnacentral:lncRNA from 1 species